GACACAACAAAUUCCGCCAUGCUAUGCAGAGUUGCUGACGGCGGCCGAGAGCUUGGUAUCCCGCUACAUCCAUGGGAAAGUGAACAAAGACAUGUGCCCAAGCUAAUCGUGAGGGGCCCACGGACUCGUGCGGUGUUCAGCAAAAUAAGUUCUGUUCCGGGUGCCUAAACCGUUGAGAUCGCAGUCAGGAGUGAGAUCCGGAGCCAGCCUACAAGGCACCUGGCCACAAGAAGAUGACCACCUUCUCUGUCUAUAUUCGGCUGGCAGAAAUGAGGACAGACUCAAGCUGUUUAAGAGGAGAGACCAUUGCUAGGAAUGUUGCCUUUUCCCAAAUGCGAAUAUUAAUCUAUCAGUGCAUAGUUAUGUGCAAAUAACACCCACGUGGCAAAGGCCGGCGAGUGAACUGGACUUGGAUAAGGCAAAACUGAAACCAAAGAAUCUUGUCAGAGCCGCUUGCCCUUCUCACAAAGAACAUAACUGGAUUGCAGGAUCACAGAGAAUUUGAUUCAUCGGUUAUAAACUUAGGAGACCACUGCUUUCACGCAGUAACAUGACUGUGGGGAGAAUUUAGUACUGGUGGUGGGAAUGUCUGAAGGGGUUUUCUUUCCAGAGAUCAGUGAUUUGAGGGUGUAAUUUGUGAUCAUGGAUAGUACUGGGUGAGGCAGAUAAAACUGGUCAGAGAAGAUCCCGCUAGUGAUGUUAUUAUUGGGGAAAGGAAACGGGUCUAGAUUGGACUUUUGAGAAAAUGCCUCCAUAAGAUGUAGCUGUAAGGCACUUAUAAAAUGAGUGAUUAAUGGCAGAGGGUCCUGCCCAUUAUGGGUGGUUCUAUCCCUGGGCUGGUGGUCCUGAGUUCUACACAAAAGCAGGCUGAACAAGCCACGAGGAGCAAGCCAGUAAGCAGCACCCCUCCUUGGCCACUGUAUCAGUUUCUGCCUCCAGAUCCCUGCCCUGUUUGAGUUCCUGUCCUGACUUUCUUUGAUGAUGAACAACAAUGUGGAAAUGUAAGCCAAAUGGCAUCUUUCCUCUCCAACUUGCUUUGUGGCUGUGGUGUUCUUUGUUUUUUGUUUUUGUUUUUGUUUUUGUUUUUUAGCAAUGGAAACUGGGAUAAAUACUUGUAGUUAUUAGAGGACUUCCCCCAUCACUGGUAAUAUUCCAGCAUAUCAGAUAAUGCCUUGGAAAGGAAAUUAGUAAUAUGGAGUACCUCAGAAGAAAAAAAAAUAACAUGUCAGUGACUUUUGAGGUGUAAUGCUACAUAAAACAGGAGAAGUCACAGUGGGAUAGACCAUUCCUCUCAUAGAGAGCCAUGAUUUCUGUGAAAAGUUGUGGUGAUGUUUCAAAAUAAAAAUAUUCCAG
rnacentral:lncRNA from 1 species